rnacentral:tRNA from 1 species
CCCGCCGCGCGGCGCGCCCCGCUCACGCCCGGCGGGUUCGGUGCACGCGCGGCGGGUUCGAUGCACGCGCGGCGGGU